AGCUCCAAUAGCGUAUAUUAAAGUUGUUGCAGUUAAAAAGCUCGUAGUUGGAUCUCAGGUGCAGGCGGGCGGUCCGGCUCGCGCCGGUUCACUGCCCGUUGUCUCCUGCCCUACCGUCUGCCGGCUCUCUCCCGCGGGUGCUCUUCGCUGAGCGUCCCGGGUGGCCGGCGCGUUUACUUUGAAAAAAUUAGAGUGUUCAAAGCAGGCCUUGGCUGCCUGAAUAAUGGUGCAUGGAAUAAUGGAAUAGGACCUCGGUUCUAUUUUGUUGGUUUUCGGAACUGGAGGUAAUGAUUAACAGGGACAAACGGGGGCAUUCGUAUUGCGGCGUUAGAGGUGAAAUUCUUGGAUCGCCGCAAGACGAGCUACUGCGAAAGCAUUUGUCAAGAAUGUUUUCAUUAAUCAAGAACGAAAGUCAGAGGCGCGAAGACGAUCAGAUACCGUCGUAGUUCUGACCAUAAACGAUGCCAACUAGCGAUCCGCAGGAGUUGCUUCGAUGACUCUGCGGGCAGCUUCCGGGAAACCAAAGUGUUUGGGUUCCGGGGGAAGUAUGGUUGCAAAGCUGAAACUUAAAGGAAUUGACGGAAGGGCACCACCAGGAGUGGAGCCUGCG
rnacentral:rRNA from 1 species